rnacentral:rRNA from 1 species
UAACCUGCCCAAGAGAUCGGGAUAACACCUGGAAACAGAUGCUAAUACCGGAUAACAACAGAUGAUGCCUAUCAACUGUUUAAAAGAUGGUUCUGCUAUCACUCUUGGAUGGACCUGCGGUGCAUUAGCUAGUUGGUAGGGUAACGGCCUACCAAGGCGAUGAUGCAUAGCCGAGUUGAGAGACUGAUCGGCCACAUUGGGACUGAGACACGGCCCAAACUCCUACGGGAGGCAGAU